UGCGUCACAUCGAGGGCACGACAUGAAGAUCGACUCGGGCCAGUUCAACCCAGAUGCCCUCUGGAAGCGCAGCCUGGCUGGGAAGCUCCAGAUGGCGCAUGUCGACCACUUGGGCAAGCUGACGACCGAGUUCGAGCCAGAGCCGGACAAAAAGACAGGUUCUAACCUCACCAAAGCAUUCAGAAAGCUAGUCAACUGGGAAGCAGACAAGGUGAGUGGAGCAUGAUCUGUUGAAAAUGAUGCGG
rnacentral:lncRNA from 1 species